CGGGGUGCACCAGGCGCGAAAACUUUACAAUGCGGGAAACCGUGAUAGGGGAACUCCGAGUGCCCGUAAAAUCGGGCUGUCCAUUGGUUUAAAUAACCAGUGAAGAAAGGGCCGGGCAAGACCGGUGCCAGCCGCCGCGGUAAUACCGGCGGCUCGAGUGGUGGCCACUAUUACUGGGCUUAAAGCGUUCGUAGCUGGUUUGUUAAGUCUCUGGGGAAAUCUUCCGGCUUAACCGGAAGGCGUCUCAGGGAUACUGGCAGACUAGGGACCGGGAGAGGUGAGGGGUACUCCAGGGGUAGGAGUGAAAUCCUGUAAUCCUUGGGGGACCACCUGUGGCGAAGGCGCCUCACCAGAACGGCUCCGACAGUGAGGGACGAAAGCUGGGGGAGCAAACCGGAUUAGAUACCCGGGUAGUCCCAGCUGUAAACGAUGCGCGUUAGGUGUAUCGGUGACCACGAGUCACCGAGGUGCCGAAGAGAAAUCGUGAAACGUGCCGCCUGGGAAGUACGGUCGCAAGGCUGAAACUUAAAGGAAUUGGCGGGGGAGCACAAGGGCGAAUCGCGG
rnacentral:rRNA from 1 species